rnacentral:misc_RNA from 1 species
GGAGGAGGAGGUGGUGGUGGUGGCGGUGGAGGUGGCAGCAGCGGGGGCUUUGCUGCUAGUGAUGAUGGUGCUAGAACUUUCUUUCUUAGAGAGGAUGAUGGGGGAUGUAGUGACAAACUUCGAAUAGACGGAACUAUUGCCCGAGAUUGCUGCUUUGGUUGAACUGAUUCUAUCUCCUUCCCAUGACUAUCUUUCACCUCCUGAGGCUUACAUUUUAUUGGUCUCUCUACUGUCACAUCCCCCCUCAUUUCUUCUUCUUCUUCUUCUU